rnacentral:sRNA from 1 species
GGAAUAGCUCAGGAACAAAGGUACAUCAGAUGUGGUCUUUGGCUAGGUUUCUGUAGCUACCUUUUGAUUUUGCAGAAAAAGCCACCACGUGAGAAUGGCCAUAAGCAGAUAAGUAGCAGUUCAACUGGAUGUCUCUCUUCUCCAAAUGCUACAGUACAAAGCCCUAAGCAUGAGUGGAAAAUCGUUGCUUCAGAAAAGACUUCAAGUAAGUAUAUGACACUUGCCAGAUUGUUUUCAGCUUACCUAUUUUUAAGAAGGAGUGUUGCCAAUUUAAUACCUCUUAAAUUGACUACUCGAGGAAAAAACUCAGAAGCAAUUAAAUUUGGAAAACGAGAGCAGAUUGUUCCAGUCUGGGAUGUGGAGACUGGAGUCCAAUUCAGGAUCAUAUACACAAACCAAAAGUAAUAAUUACAUCUUAAACAUGGAACUCUUGUGCUUACAGAUAACACUUACUUGUGCCUGGCUGUGCUGGAUGGUAUAUUCUGUGUCAUUUUUCUUCACGGGAGAAACAGCCCACAGAGCUCACCAACAAGUACUCCAAAACUAAGUAAGAGUUUAAGCUUUGAGAUGCAACAAGAUGAGCUAAUCGAAAAGCCCAUGUCUCCUAUGCAGUACGCACGAUCUGGUCUGGGAACAGCAGAGAUGAAUGGCAAACUCAUAGCUGCAGGUGGCUAUAACAGAGAGGAAUGUCUUCGAACAGUCGAAUGCUAUAAUCCACAUACAGAUCACUGGUCCUUUCUUGCUCCCAUGAGAACACCAAGAGCCCGAUUUCAAAUGGCUGUACUCAUGGGCCAGCUCUAUGUGGUAGGUGGAUCGAAUGGCCACUCAGAUGACCUGAGUUGUGGAGAGAUGUAUGAUUCAAACAUAGAUGACUGGAUUCCUGUUCCAGAAUUGAGAACUAACCGUUGUAAUGCAGGAGUGUGUGCUCUGAAUGGAAAGUUAUACAUCGUUGGUGGCUCUGAUCCAUAUGGUCAAAAAGGACUGAAAAAUUGUGAUGUAUUUGAUCCUGUAACAAAGUUGUGGACAAGCUGUGCUCCUCUUAACAUUCGGAGACACCAGUCUGCAGUCUGUGAGCUUGGUGGUUAUUUGUACAUAAUCGGAGGUGCAGAAUCUUGGAAUUGUCUGAACACAGUAGAACGAUACAAUCCUGAAAAUAAUACCUGGACUUUAAUUGCACCCAUGAAUGUGGCUAGGCGAGGAGCUGGAGUGGCUGUUCUUAAUGGUGAGUGUUGGGAUUUGGAGAGGUGAAGAGUAGAUAGUGGCAAGACUUUGUUCUAAAACUCUGAGAGAAAAGGCCAAUGAUGACUAUAGUUGUACAGUUAAGAAUUCAGAAGCAGUCAUCUCUUUUGAUGCAAUGGAGAUUAGGGUGAUUUGUCCUUUAGAAAUAUAUUUUCUAAUCAAAGACUUAUAAUACUUGAUAUAUAACUUAAUUCACCAGUCUUUUGAUGGGUGCACUGAGUGAAUUUCCAAGUCAUUUUCUUCUAUAAAACAUAUCCAUAAUGCAUCAUCUUGAAUUUUGAGUUUCCCCUUCUUUACAGCCAGAAUUUAAAGAAUCUGAUCUGCAAAACAAAUGCAAAUCCCUAGUCUUUUCCAACUGUCUACUCCAUACCUAAUUGGAAAUACAACCUUUAGACUAUUUUAACAAGUUUCCAAAGUAUUAAACUUUUUAAAUGUAGACAUAGCUUUCUUUCCACCUCCAUUUUAUUGACUUUUAAUGUCUAAUUAUAUAAUCAUAAUUUAAAAGUUAGCAUUGUUUUUGGUACCAGGCUGAACCUUAGCAGGCUUAUGGCUCAACUGGUGAAGGCUUAAGUGUAGACACAGCCUGUUGGCCUAGAGCCCUGUCAGCAUGCUUUACAGAUACAUAGAAUGCAAGCUGGUUAAGUGAUGGUCAAAUGAAAAAAUAAUGAAUUUGAGAAUCAGUAAUAAAAUUUUUUCUAAGCUACAGAGUAUUUAUUGCUAACAUUGUAUCUAUUUGAAAAUAAUCAUAACUCUGUUUCCAGAAGAAAUUUCUGUACCACAAUCAUUUUAUUUUUUUAAUUGAGACAUGGUCUCACUGUGUUGCCCAGGCUGGUCUCGAACCCCUGGGCUCAUGCAGUCCUCCCACCUCAGGCUCCCAUAGUAUUGGGAUUAUAGGCAUGAGCCACCACAUCUGGCCCCAAAAUCAUUUUAUACAGUUGGAAAGCCCUAAGAUAUUUUUCUGCUUUCCUAUAAUCUCUUCUGAGCUUAAUUCUGUACAUUGGGCUGAUAUAAAGUCCAGUGCACAGAACUAUUCUGGUUUGCUACUUAGUAGCUGCAUCUGUAGGAUAAUUGUCCAGCUUCUUCCUGCUUUUCUUCUUCUCUGAAAUAAUAAUAGUAACUACCACAGAGUUGGUGAAAAUUGUACUUAUUUAGAUGCUGCUACUGCUUCCUCUCCCUCCCCCUUUUAAGUUGCCUAAGUUCCACAUGGGAAUGGUUUUUUUAUUGAUUUAAUUCCCAGCUCUUAGAGAGUAUUUGUCAUAUUAGGCAUUUAAUAAAUUCUUUUUGACAAAA